AUUUUUCCUUUGUAAAGGAGUAGGUUCACUAAGACCCCUUUUUGGCCCAAAAUAUAGCAGUUUUAGAAAAUUGUGAAAAUGUAAUCUUUAAGCUAUAUUUUGGAAAGUAAAAUGCUUCUGCUACAUAAAUAUGAGCUGUUUUUGACGAUAAAAUGCACAAAUAUCGCAUUCUAGCAUCAUUAAGUCAUGCUAAAUUACUGAAAUCUUCAAAAUUUUAGCAUUUUGGUCAAUUUUUUUACGGUUUCCGUCUAAAAUGAAAGUGGCCGCAUUCGUGUUCAUUCAUAAUAUUGAAAUGUAAGUUGUAUUUGAUGAUAAUACAAAACAUAUAUAAAGGUUGAGGAUGAACAAGGAUGCGGCCAUUUCAUUUUUGACAAAAACCAUCUAAAAAGUGACGUUUUUUGGCAUAUUUGAUAGAUUUUUCAUAUUUAAGCUUGAAUCAGAGCGUUUUUAAUGACCAAAUCAGUUAAAAUCUUUCACAUAAACUAAUCGAAUCAAUUGAAAUAAUACAAUACAAUACAAUACAAUACAAUAUUUUUAUUUUCCAAAUUAAAGGGCCCAUUAAGAGCAUAACAUUAAUUACAACAUGACAUAAACAUUACAGAGUGAUUAAAGAAACAUAAAAUAAUAAUUGAAAUUCAAAUGCAUGAAGAAAGGAUCAGUGGUCAAGGGGAG
rnacentral:lncRNA from 1 species